rnacentral:snRNA from 1 species
CGGACAAGGGGAAUCCGACUG